rfam:Triticum urartu cultivar G1812 contig774337, whole genome shotgun sequence.
CGGCGCUCUGCCCCGCCCCGUAGAAGUAGCUGUAGCUGUCGCCCACCAUCUGGCUGAACAGCGCAUCCGGAUUCGGGCGGCCACCA